CCGGCAAAGUUGCCUUUGGAGAAGGCAGUGUGGGCCUUUUCCUCGGCCUCCUUCGUGGUCACUGAUCUUCUCCCAAAGCCAAGGAACGUGAUCAGCCUGGACCUUCGGGUUCCUAUUGGUUUCCUGCAGAAGCUGGAUGGCCGUCUGUGGGGACGGCUUUCGCUGUGCUUUUCCUGCCUGGCAGGAGAGGGUUGGGCUGGAUGGCCUCUGGGUGCCCCUUACAACUCUAUGGUUAUAGGGAGGAGGAGGAGGAGGAGGAGAGGAGGGGGAGGAAAAGACCCCUGUCUCGUUCCCACCACCAUCUCACUACUAAUGGACAACGUGCCUCCAUGCUGUGAAGCCCUCCACCACGGAUCCAUCCAGCGCAGAUGCUGCUAAAAAGCAUCCCAUUGGGCAGAGGACGAGGAGGACGGGCUCCACGGAUGGAGGAUAAAAAAUGCACGGCAUUCAUUCUUCAAUGUAAAUGCAUCCCGACUCUCCCUUUUCUGAGACUCGGGUGUCGUUUGGAUUUGGUCAGAUUUCGGAAUAUUUGCAUUGACAUAACCAUUUCUCAUCAUCAGCCUAUUUAUUUAGAUCUUGCUUUCCUCUCCUAAAGAAGUAAAUCAUUUAAAUCCUGCUUUCCUCUCCUAAAGUAUUCAUUUAGAUCCUGCUUUCCUCUCCUAAAGAAGUAAAUCUAUCUAUCUAUCUAUCUAUCUAUCUAUCUAUCAUCCAUCCAUCUAUCCAUUUAUCUAUCUUCUCUUGCUCGCACUGUUGUGGAAUUUCGUUUGGACGCGGGUGAAGAAAGCAGACUGACAGCAGAAGUUGUCUUCAAGAUAGUUUACUUUUGGCCAAGAGCAGGUGACAAUGUUAGCUAAUGCCCAGAAAACGCAAUGCCACACCUUGCCUGUCGUGGCUUUCCAAUUUAUACAAUUUUACAGAGCAUGCGCAGAAAGCUAACUGACAAUGGAAUUUGCUGACUAUUACAAUCCUUUUGGACAUGCGUAGUUGCCUUGUAACUUAUAUAACUCAUUACUCAUCACAUCAGGUGAAGUGUCCAAGGUUUGCUCCACGUAUGCACUAUCCUCAGGUGACAUGUUCAUAGUUCAUUCCACGUAACUCAUCCGGGCAGCCAAAUCAUUACUGCAGUUUGCAUGACCUUAUAUUGUGAGCAAAGAGCAAAUGUCAGGCAGAACAUGUCCUGUCAACACUUUCAUGGAAAAACAAGAUUUUUGAGUAAGGGUCAUCUAGGUAAGGGAUUAUUAGGGUCUUUAAAUAAAAUAUUCAAGAGCUGCUACAUUAGCACCUCUCUCAACUGUCUUGUUUCCGUCUCUUUUAUCUAUCUAACAUCUAUCACUCAUCUCUUUCUAUUCUCUUGUUCUCAUCUCUUUCAUCUCCCUCAUCUCUCUCUCUCUCUUAUCUAUCUCUCAUCUGACUUUCCCUGGAAUAGGCAGUAAGAGCACCUAAAGCUUCUGAGAGCUUCUGUUCAACCAUUUCAAAGCUGCCUGCUUGGGCGGUGAUGGCAUGAUCGUCAGCAUAGAUGAAACUCUCUGUCCCUACCAGAUGAGAGACUCCCUCCUGGGCAGCUUGGAAGGCACUGAAUAGAUUGCUCUGGCACCACGAGAUGCAGAGCCAACCUUAAGAAACAGGGCCACAAAGUGGAGUCCACGACAUGCGAGUGCGGAAAAGAGCAAACCAUAGACCAUGGACUACAAGGUGGUCUGAGCCCUGCCACAUGCACAAGGGAGGACCUUCUCACAGCCACACCAGAGGCAAUCCAAGUGGCCAGCUUCUGGUCAAAGGACAUUUAUGAUGAUAAUAAUGCCAAGUUUUUAAUGUUUUUGUUUCUAAAUCUAUAUAUAUAAAAGAGUGAUGGCAUCACGACGACGCACAAAACAACAAAACUACAGGCCCCCCAACCUCGAAAUUUGACAACACAACCCAUCACCCAUGGCUCUAGGUUGAUACAACAAAAAGAAAAGAAAAAUAAAGUCCUAAUCAGAGAGAGAGGAAUAAUUGCUUUUAUCCAAUUGCUGCCAGUUAGAAGGCUAAGCUCCUCCAACUUGGUCGCCUAGCAACCCAAUAAAAAUAAUAAAAAAACACUAAAAAAUAAUUAAAAACGCUAAAAAAAUUAAUACAAUAAAAUACUGUAAUAACAGAAAAUAACUAAAAAUAAUACAAGAAAGUAACAAAAUAUAAUAAACAAAAAGAUAACUUACAAUAAAAUUAAUUUAAAAAUACAAAUAACGUCAAAUAAAAAUUACACAACAAUUUUUAACCAAUACCACCACCACUUUGCCACAGCAACGCAUGGCCGGGCACAGCUAGUACUUGAUAACUGUACCGUCAAUUUGCUUCUGACAUGAUAAAUAAAUCUAUCUAUCUCUCUUUCUAUAUCUAUCUAUCUCUUGCUCUCACUUAUCUGUCUCUCAUCUCCCUCUUUUAACACACUUAUCUCUCUCAUCUCUCUAUCUCUCCAUCUAACAUCUAUCUCUCAUCUAUCUAUCUAUCUAUCUAUCUUUUACUCUCUUAUCUGUCUCAUCCCUCUCUUAUCUCUCUCUUAUCUAUCUAUCUCUUGCUCUCUCUUAUCUGUCUCUCAUCUCCCUCUUUUAACACACUUAUCUCUCUCAUCUCUCUAUCUCUCCAUCUAACAUCUAUCUCCCAUCUAUCUAUCUAUCUAUCUAUCUAUCUAUCUAUCUAUCUAUCUAUCUUUUACUCUCUUAUCUGUCUCAUCCCUCUCUUAUCUCUCUCUUAUCUAUCUAUCUCUUGCUCUCUCUUAUCUGUCUCUCAUCUCCCUCUUUUAACACACUUAUCUCUCUCAUCUCUCUAUCUCUCCAUCUAACAUCUAUCUCCCAUCUAUCUAUCUAUCUAUCUAUCUAUCUAUCUAUCUAUCUAUCUAUCUAUCUAUCUAUCUAUCUUUCUUUUACUCUCUUAUCUGUCUCAUCCCUCUCUUAUCUCUCUCUUAUCUAUCAUCUCUUGCUCUCUCUUAUCUGUCUCAUCUAUCCAUCUCUAUUAUCUCUUGCUGACAAUCGUGCCAUCACUGCUCAAGCAGGGAGCUUUGAAAUGGUUGAACAGAAGCUCUCAGAAGCUUUAGGUGCUCUUACUGCCUAUUCCAGGGGAAAACAGCUGAUUCCUAAUGCAUCUAAAACACAGACAUCUGCUUUUCAUCUUAAGAACAGACAAGCAUCUUGAGCUCUGAGGAUGACUUGGGAAGGAAUCCCACUGGAGCAUUGCAGCACACCCAAAUAUCUGAGAGUCACUUUGGACUGUACUCUGAUGUAUAAACACUGCUUGAAUAUUGAGCAAAACGUAGGCGCUAGAAAUAAUAUCAUACAAAAGCAUAAUCUGGGGAUGACACCAGACACAGUGAAGACAAUGUGUUGUCGAAGGCUUUCAUGGCCAGGAUCACAGGGUUGUUGUGUGUUUUCCGGGCUGUCUGGGCAUGUUCCAGAAGUAUUCUCUCCUGACGUUUCGCCCACAUCUAUGGCAGGCAUCCUCGGAGGUUGUGAGAAAUGCUGUGGACCACUCUCACAACCACCAUGUCAAGUGACACAGAGAAGCCACAUCUAUGGCAGGCAUCCUCACUUUUCCAUACCUCACAACCUCUGAGGAUGCCUGCCACAGAUGUGGGCGAAACGUCAGGAGAGAAUACGUCUGGAACAUGGCCAGACAGCCCGGAAAACAGACAACAACACAGUGAAGACAUCUGCCCUUGCGCUUUGCUACUCUGCUGCCGAGUACGCAUGCCCAGUGUGGAAUAUAUCUCACCACGUUAAAACAGUGGAUGUGGCUCUUAAUGAGACAUGAAGCAUUAUCACAGGAUGUCUAUGCCCCAGACCACGGGAGAAAUUAUACUGGGUUGUUGUAUGUCUUUCGGGCUGUGUGGCCAUGUUCCAGAAGCAUUCUCUCCUGACGUUUCGCCCACAUCUAUGGCAGGCAUCCUCAUAGAUGUGGGCGAAACGUCAGGAGAGAAUGCUUCUGGAACAUGGCCACACAGCCCGAAAGACAUACAACAACCCUGUGAUCCCGGCCACGAAAGCCUUCGACAACACAGAAAUUAUACUGUUUAGCUGGUAUUCCACCACCUGAUAUCCGCUGGGACGUAGCAGCCAACAAUGAAAGGACCAAGGCAGUGACAUCCCUGACCCAUCCCCUGUUCAGAUAUCAGCCAAGACUCAAAUGCCUUAAACCAAGAAAUAGCUUUCUAAGGUCUACAGAGAUACUUGUAGGAACAUCUCAGCAAGCAAGAGUCCAAAAGUGGCAGGCUAAAACCCAGAAUCUUAAUCAGUGAUUGACACUGGAUGAGAGAGUCCCUCCUGGGCACACAGAAGGUGGGGAGACUUGGAAGGCGCCUCUGGCACCACGAGAUGCAGAGCCAGCCUUAGGAAAUGGGGCCACAAAGUGGAGUCCACGACAUGCGAGUGCGGACAAGAGCAAACCACAGAUUAUUUACUACAAUGCAGCCUGAGCCCUGCCACAUGCACAACGGAGAACCUUCCCACAGCCACACCAAAGGGACUCCAAGUGGACAGCUUCUGGUCAAAGGAAAUCUAGUAUACUGUAAUGCCAAGUUUUUUUUUAACAUCAUUUGUUUUUUUGAAAUGCGUUACAAUUGGAGCCUUGGUUUGCUUCUGAUGCGGUCCAGGCUGUGGUGCUGGCUGGUGAGCAGCCAGCUGCAACAAAUCACUCUGACCAAGAGGUCAUGAGUUCGAGGCCAGCUCGGAGCCUGCGUUUGUCUCUGUUCUUUGUGAAGGCAUUGAAUGUUUGCCUCAUAUGUGUGCAAUGUGAUCCGCCCUGAAUCCCUUUUGGGGUGAGAAAGAAGGGCGGAAUAUAAAUGCUGUAAAUAAAUACAUAAAUAAA